AGGUUCUUCUGUCUGCCCUAUGGAAAUAAAACAAAACGUGAUUUCUCGUUCCCAGCUCUGACUGUUGGUUUUUUUUGCAUGCCUAGGGUGAUCUGCUGCAGUAAGGCUCUUGCCACAAUGUCUGCCCCCUUCGAGAAUGUGGUUGCUUUUUUCUGCCCUCACCAAACAUUGAAGCUGAUCACUUUAUUUACCUUAUGGAUAUAAUCUUGCAACCUCCAUCCAAAGAGGCUACAUUUUUCUGGUGUUGAAUCAUCUGUGCUGAGUGCUCCAUGAAUAACGAUCCUCCUAGAACUGAAUAGUGAUGGUUUCUUCCCAUUCUGGAUUUCCAAGUUAGACAUGGCUGCGGGGAAUAUAAUUAUUCUUGUGAUGUCUGCCACUGAGACUGGGCGCCAUUUUUGGUAAA